GGCAUGCUGGGCCCUGCCGGGCUCGCCGCUCCCGUCCGCUGCUCUCCGCCGGUCUGGUCGGGCGGGCAGGGCUGCUGGCUCCCGGGUCCUGACGUCAGGCUGCCACCGCCUCGCCUCAGACUCUGGGCUCUGGCAGCCGUUACCAAGCAGCCAAAAGCCUCCUUCCCGCAGACGCCACCCGCGGCCUCCGCCCACCGCGCCGUCUCCGCCCCGCGCCCCUCCGGCCGGGCUGUAGUCCCGCAGGAGGGCAGGAGGGCAGGAGGGAGCCGCGCGCCGAGCCAGGAACAGGCUGCGGUUCAGCUCCAGACUGUGUAACCACCUUGUGAGAAGACCUGUUCACCCUGACCCAGUCUGAGGAGGCACAGCCUGGAGAGGGGGAGAAAAGGCCAAAGCCCCCACCCCACUCUAAUUCUGUGUUGAUUCUGGUCAAGGCCCUUCAUUAAUGAAAGGCAUUAGUUUUGUUUCUCAAAGAAAAACAAUUUUAGAUACUAAGGUCGUGUGCAACCUUGGCUGAGGGUUGCUGCCGUUCUACUACUGACAGAGCAUUGCUGCAGAUGGAUUAUCACUGCUGUCAAACCUCCCAACAGGCUCUUUCUUUGGACAGCUUUCAUCAGACCUCUGAACCUUCUCCUACACCCAUUUGUGCAAGACCUUGUCAAGUCGGACUUUUUUCGGUGCAGGGGAUCAAACUCAGGACCUUCCACUUGUAAGGCAGGCACGGCGCCACUGAGCUAAAUCCCGGCCCUUCAAGUCUGAUUUUAGCAAAGAGCUCACGCCCUCAGCAUCCCUCACCCUGGUGUCUGGGGAGGCCCCUCAUCCUGUGCCAGAAGACAUCAGGUUUCCCUGUCCUGAAUGCACCCAUGAUUCUUCAGGUCAGCACAGCCCGGGUCCUGGCCCUUGCGCUUCUCCGUCAUUUUCCACCCACUGACCUCACCCUGCCUGGGCGAAGACUCCCGCUUGGCCACGCUGCAGGUGACGUGAACCCUAAUCUCAGUGCUCCCUGCAAGAUCAUACUGAGUGGUCCCGACACCCCAAUACCUGGAUGGUCCUGGACAAAGUCCUUCUUGCCACAGUUUCACAAGUGUCACUGAAUGUUUUUUUCUGUAACAUCCCCAAGAUUUUUACUCUAAGAAGCCUUUCCUGUAACCCUAAAUGCAUCCCUGGUCUGCAUAAAGUUAGUUUUCGGGUGGGGGUGACUUUUUCAAUGUCCAGCUUCUCGGUGGCCCUGAAGAAGAGGCCUCAGACCUACGCUGGACGAAUGCUGAGGUGCAGAUGUCUGGAGAGUGCAUUUCGCCCCAAGGACUACAGUUACCACAGCAAGAAGCCUGGGCCCCGUGGAGGUGGCCAGAAGCCCUGAGCACCCUGACUCUGGGAUUACGUCUUUGCUCAGAGUCCUGUUUCGCUCCCACACCCAGAUGAGACUGGCUGUCUCAACUUUCCAUGGCACAGCGACGUAGCUGAAGAUGUGACUAAAAGCAUUUGCGUUCUGUGGGCCUCUUGAAGGCAAUCAGGGUGGAUUUGGUUUGUCCGGGUCUCCAACACCAACUUCAGUGCCCAGAAAGCAAUGCAUCUUUGGUGUUUGUGGAGUGAAUGAAAGGUUAGCACAAGGGUUAGCUAUGCCGUUUUGUCAACAGCAAAGACCUUCAAGCAGUACUUCAAACCAAUGCUUUCAUAAUUCUCACAAACUAGCUCACAGAUCUAGAGUGUGUCACAUUAUAAUAUUAAAUAUAACAUUAAAAUAUUGCAUUUUAUGAUUAAACAAAAUAGGCAUUGUAAAUACCAGGAAAAAUGCAAAGAAAAUUAAAAAAUCUGUAAUCACACCAUCCAGACAGCCAUUGUUACCUUUUUGUGAUUACGUUUUUAUUUAUAAUUAUUUUAAAAUUGGAAU
ensembl:lncRNA